GGAAGGAUCAUUAUUGAAUGAACUUGGUGUGGUUGUUGCUGGCCCUCUAGGGGGCAUGUGCACACCCGCCAUCCUCAUCUCUCCACCUGUGCACCUCUUGUAGAUCUGGAUAGACUUUCCGAGGCAACUCGGUCGGGAAGAUUGCUGCACUCUGUGAGCCAGCUUUCUUUGCAUGUCCAGGUCUAUGUUUUUCAUAUACCCCUAUAGAAUGUAACAGAAUGUAUCAUCGGGCUUUGUGCCUAUAAACCUAAUACAACUUUCAGCAACGGAUCUCUUGGCUCUCGCAUCGAUGAAGAACGCAGCGAAAUGCGAUAAGUAAUGUGAAUUGCAGAAUUCAGUGAAUCAUCGAAUCUUUGAACGCACCUUGCGCUCCUUGGUAUUCCGAGGAGCAUGCCUGUUUGAGUGUCAUUAAAUUCUCAACCUUAUUAGCUUUUGUUAAUAAUGGAUUGGAUGUGGGGGUUUCUUUUGCUGGUUUCAUCACAGAGAUCAGCUCCCCUUAAAUGCAUUAGCUGGUGCCCCGCGUGGACCAUCUAUUGGUGUGAUAAUUAUCUACGCCGUGGAUGUCUGCAAUUAUAUGGGUUUUGCACUGCUUCUAACCGUCUGUUCAUUCGGACAAUAUUGACAAUUUGACCUCAAAUCAGGUAGGACUACCCGCUGAACUUAAGCAUAUCAAUAAGCGGAGGAAAAGAAACUAACAAGGAUUCCCCUAGUAACUGCGAGUGAAGCGGGAAAAGCUCAAAUUUAAAAUCUGGCGGUCUCCGGCCGUCCGAGUUGUA
rnacentral:rRNA from 1 species